rnacentral:rRNA from 1 species
UACGAAGGGGGCUAGCGUUGCUCGGAAUUACUGGGCGUAAAGGGCGCGUAGGCGGCACUGUUAGUCAGGCGUGAAAGUCCUGGGCUCAACCUGGGAACUGCGCUUGAUACGGCAGAGCUAGAGGAUGGAAGAGGGUCGCGGAAUUCCCAGUGUAGAGGUGAAAUUCGUAGAUAGUUGGGAAGAACACCGGUGGCGAAGGCGGCGACCUGGUCCAUUACUGACGCUGAGGCGCGACAGCGUGGGGAGCAAACAGGAUUGAGAAAC